UAAGGAAUAUUGGUCAAUGGACGAAAGUCUGAACCAGCCAUGCCGCGUGGAGGAUGAAGGUCCUCUGGAUUGUAAACUUCUUUUAUAUGGGACGAAAAAGGGCUUUUCUAAGUCAACUGACGGUACCAUAUGAAUAAGCACCGGCUAACUCCGUGCCAGCAGCCGCGGUAAUACGGAGGGUGCAAGCGUUAUCCGGAUUCACUGGGUUUAAAGGGUGCGUAGGUGGGUUGGUAAGUCAGCGGUGAAAUCCCCGAGCUUAACUUGGGAACUGCCAUUGAUACUAUCAGUCUUGAAUGCCGUGGAGGUCAGCGGAAUAUGUCAUGUAGCGGUGAAAUGCUUAGAUAUGACAUAGAACACCAAUUGCGAAGGCAGCUGACUACACGAAUAUUGACACUGAGGCACGAAAGCGUGGGGAUCAAACAGGAUUAGAUACCCUGGUAGUCCACGCCCUAAACUAUGGAUACUCGACAUACGCGAUACACAGUGUGUGUCUGAGCGAAAGCAUUAAGUAUCCCACCUGGGAAGUACGAUCGCAAGAUUG
rnacentral:rRNA from 1 species